CUCUCUCUUUAGUAACUGUAAGUGUAUUGGUUUUAUUUUACAGGAGGAAAUAAAUGUACAUUUAGGCCGUCAGAUACAAUCAUUUUCAAAACAUUUCAACACAUUUGGUUUAAUAAAAGGUAAAGAUACGGAAAAAUAAAAACCCUUACAGCUUACGAUGAGUAGUGGAUUAACACUACAGAACGAAAGGCUUAUCGUAAAGAGAGCAUUGUGUAACGGACUAAAUCGCUUUGCGAAAAUAAAAGGGAAAAGAAUGAAUGGGCCCUUCAAUCCACAUGAUUGGGGACAAUAGAAGGGGAGUGGGGGGGGGG